GAUGAACGCUGGCGGCGUGCCUAAUACAUGCAAGUCGAGCGAACAGACGAGGAGCUUGCUCCUCUGACGUUAGCGGCGGACGGGUGAGUAACACGUGGAUAACCUACCUAUAAGACUGGGAUAACUUCGGGAAACCGGAGCUAAUACCGGAUAAUAUAUUGAACCGCAUGGUUCAAUAGUGAAAGACGGUUUUGCUGUCACUUAUAGAUGGAUCCGCGCCGCAUUAGCUAGUUGGUAAGGUAACGGCUUACCAAGGCGACGAUGCGUAGCCGACCUGAGAGGGUGAUCGGCCACACUGGAACUGAGACACGGUCCAGACUCCUACGGGAGGCAGCAGUAGGGAAUCUUCCGCAAUGGGCGAAAGCCUGACGGAGCAACGCCGCGUGAGUGAUGAAGGUCUUCGGAUCGUAAAACUCUGUUAUUAGGGAAGAACAAAUGUGUAAGUAGCUAUGCACGUCUUGACGGUUCCUAAUCAGAAAGCCACGGCUAACUACGUG
rnacentral:rRNA from 1 species